rnacentral:rRNA from 1 species
AUUGAACGCUGGCGGCAGGUCUAACACAUGCAAGUCGAGCGGUAACAUGGGAGCUUGCUCCUGAUGACGAGCGGCGGACGGGUGAGUAACGCGUAGGAAUCUACCCAGUAGCGGGGGAUAGCCCGGGGAAACCCGGAUUAAUACCGCAUACGCCCUACGGGGGAAAGGCCGGGAUCUUCGGACCGGUCACUAUUGGAAGAGCCUGCGUUGGAUUAGCUAGUUGGUAGAGUAAAGGCCUACCAAGGCGACGAUCCAUAACUGGUCUGAGAGGAUGAUCAGUCACACCGGAACUGAGACACGGUCCGGACUCCUACGGGAGGCAGCAGUGGGGAAUAUUGGACAAUGGGGGCAACCCUGAUCCAGCCAUGCCGCGUGUGUGAAGAAGGCCUUCGGGUUGUAAAGCACUUUAAGUUGGGAAGAAGGCUUUGGCGUUAAUAGCGUUGAGGAUUGACAUUACCAACAGAAUAAGCACCGGCUAACUCCGUGCCAGCAGCCGCGGUAAUACGGAGGGUGCAAGCGUUAAUCGGAAUUACUGGGCGUAAAGCGCGCGUAGGCGGCUGAUUAUAGUCGGGUGUGAAAGCCCCGGGCUCAACCUGGGAACUGCAUCCGAUACUGAUCGGC